rnacentral:rRNA from 1 species
UAUCCCUAAGACUAGCCAUGCACGUCUAGUACAAACUAAAUGAUGGUGAAACUGCAAAUGGCUCAUUACAACGGUUAUGAUGUACCCGGGAGUUCCGAUGGAUAUUUCCAGUAACACUAGAACUAAUACAUGUCCCUGCGUUUAUUAGUUUCGCACAGUCCGUCGCUGAGUCAUGGUAAACAGUUGAUCGACUCGACGUCCCGGAACAGUUUCCGCCCCAUCAGCUUCGAUGGUUGGGUAUUGGCCUACCAUUGCAACAACGGGUAACGAGGAAUUAGGGUUUGAUUUCGGAGAGGGAGCCUGAGAAACGGCUACCACAUCUACGGAUGGCAGCAGGCGCGCAAAUUACCCAAUGCAGACACUGUGAGGUAGUGACGAGAAAUAAUAAAGCGGGACUUCUGUUUCGCUAUUAUAAUGAGGAAUAACCAAAGGUCAUUCCGAUUAGCAACUGAUGGGAAAGUCUGGUGCCAGCAGCCGCGGUAAUACCAGCGUCAGUAGCA